UACGUAGGGUGCAAGCGUUGUCCGGAAUUAUUGGGCGUAAAGAGCUCGUAGGCGGUUUGUCGCGUCGGCUGUGAAAACCUGGGGCUCAACCCCGGGCCUGCAGCCGAUACGGGCAAACUAGAAUUCGGUAGGGGAGACUGGAAUUCCUGGUGUAGCGGUGGAAUGCGCAGAUAUCAGGAGGAACACCGGUGGCGAAGGCGGUUCUCUGGGCCUUACCUGACGCUGAGGAGCGAAAGCAUGGGGAGCGAACAGG
rnacentral:rRNA from 1 species